UCCGCAGGUGGCCUGGCAAGUCUGAUGUGAAAUCCCGGAGCUCAACUCCGGAACUGCAUUGGAAACUGCCGGGCUAGAGUAUCGGAGAGGAGAUUGGAAUUCCAGGUGUAGCGAUAAAAUGCGUAGAUAUCUGGAAGAACAUCGAAAGCGAAGGCAGAUCUCUGGACGGUCACUGACACUCAGGGACGAAAGCAUGGGGAGCAAACAGGAUUAGAUACCCUGGUAGUCCAUGCCCUAAACGGUGUGAACUUGAUGUGGAGGGAUUUACUCCCCUCCGUGUCGAAGCUAACGCGUUAAGUUCACCGCCUGGGAACUACGGCCGCAAGGCUAAA
rnacentral:rRNA from 1 species